AGGGAAAGACCUGGAGAGUACACAAGUCAUAUGCAGAUAUCUGCUCUUCCUGCAUAAAGAGGCAUGCACAAGGCUGUCUACUGCAUCAUCAUUUGUAAAACCAGAAAACUGCAAACAAUGCAAGUUCCUACCCAAGGGAAAUGAAUUUUGGAACAUCUCUAAAAAUAAUGAGCUGAAUGGCGAUACAUGAGCCCAGGAUGCCAGCUGGAUACCUGUGGCUGUGUGACCAUCAGUCUAUUUCUUUCGCCACUGAAAGUAAUUUAAAAGCUGCCUGAUUGACUCAGCUGUCUUGGUUAUUUAGGUAUAAGGAUAGAGUGGAGCAGGUCAAGGGACAAGAGACCUAGCACGUGCUAUGUAGUCAAUAAACAUUUCAAUAGAGGCGUCA